GCCAUAGAAGCAACAGCAGCAUAUGCAAGAUAAUUAACUCCCAUUAGUGGAACUCAAACCCAGGGAUCACUGCGCCCUGGGUUUUCUCACUGCUACGCGGCUCAGAGUCCUGUUUCUAGUCCUCCUGGGUCUGGGCUGAGGAAAGAGAUGAUGAUGAUGAUGCUCAGCCUCCGGAUCCCAAACUUCUGCUCUCCAAGGCUCAGCUUGUCCUGAAUUAAAGUUGGUGGCCCACUUCACCCUUAUCCCUGAACGGGUUAGGUUUUAAAGGGGAAGCUGAACAAAUGACUCCCCUCUGGACUGGCCCCAGCAUCUAUCAAGGUUGGCAACUGGACAAUCCUCCUGGACAAGAAGUCAUACAAAAGGGCUUCUUCUAGUGGAGCUUUGCUUGAACAACAAGUUCUUCCUAAACUCUCGGAUAAAGAAUUCCAAAGCUCUGGUGCCACAAUGAAGAAGGGUCAACUCCCUUGACACAUCGACUGGGCCUUGACCAGGGUAGGGGGGCGGAAACCAGAAA